AUUGAACGCUGGCGGCAGGCCUAACACAUGCAAGUCGAGCGAGCGGCGGACGGGUGAGUAAUGUAUGGGGACUGCCCGAUAGCGGGAGAUAACUACUGGAAACGGUGGCUAAUACCUCCUACUGUCGGAUAACCCAUAUGGGAUUAGCUAGUAGGUAAGGUAAUGGCUUACCUAGGCGACGAUCCCUAGCUGGUCUGAGAGGAUGAUCAGCCACACUGGGACUGAGACAAGGCCCAGACUCCUACGGAGGCAGCAGUGGGGAAUAGUGCACAAUGGGCGCAAGCCUGAUGCAGCCAUGCCGCGUGUAUGAAGAAGGCCCUAGGGUUGUAAAGUACUUUCAGUCGGGAGGCGUUACCGACAGAAGAAGCACCGGCUAACUCCGUGCCAGCCGCCGCGGUAAUAC
rnacentral:rRNA from 1 species